AUGUAGACUAGGCUGGUGGGCUAAUCCUCCACUGUAACUUCAAAUGGAUUCUGGAAGAGCUGAAACCUAGGGAAAGGUUUAGAAUUCAGGAUUUAGUCUUGGUUUGAACUGUGAAUCCUUGUCCUGUAGGGUUGGUUUAUGCGUGAACCUGGUCAGAUCCGGAAGGAAGCAUCCAUAAGCUUGUAGAUUGACGCUUGCGGGGUAGCAGGGAGGAGAAAGAAUCAAGGUAGCUGAUUUCUGUUUUCUAUUAUCGAUUCUUAGGUGUGUCUACAC
rnacentral:SRP_RNA from 1 species